rnacentral:lncRNA from 1 species
GUAGAUGUCCGGAUGUGUCAGCGGUCGUCCAAUAGUACUGUGAUGGCGGUGGUACGGUGAUAGGAGCAGAAUGAGUCGGUGUGGACCCAUAAAGUAUCCCCAUAUACAUAGGAGUAGGAACCAAAUGCUGAGACGGCCUAGAAUAUGAGGGUCGUGCUGGCACAUCAGCAAACCGACCCUCAGAUAUAUGAAUACCUGUCGGCCGUCUAUAAUGCAGAGGUUAUUUUUUCUUUUUUGUUUUAGUAGGAUCAACUUUCCCUUACCUUUGUCACAUCUACCAGACAAUUAUGUAAAGUUAACAAGUAGUUAGUUUCUACAAAAUGAAUACAUAAGAAAACAUUUCAAGUAACUAAUUUCAAGUUACUAAUUCACAUUUCAAAUCGCUCCAACAACACGAGAUAGACAAAAAUAUUUUUAUUACUAUAUAAAUUAUGGAAAAGUGAAAACAAUAAUCUUAAAGAGUAUAUUACAUAUCAAUCUUAAACAAGAAACAUAAAGGUAAAUAUAUAGUACAAAACAUAAAGACAUCAAUACAUAAUAAAUACAACCUACACAAACUAAUCCUCCUCUUCUGAAGACUCUCCACUAAAUCAUUCACACUCUUCGAAAUUUUCCUCAUCUCCUACCCACUUAGCCUCUUCUUUUGCAAUAUUAACUUCUUCAAAUAUAUUUUUCGGGUGAUUCAAACUAUCCACUAAGUCAAUGUCCACUAGCUGGUGAUCAAUCUGCAUUUUAUUUUAAUACGCAGUCUUAAGCACAUUCUCAACUUCCACCCAUCCGAUAGGCUUUGUUUGAUUACAGCCCACCAAUCAGACUUAUCAUUGCGCAAUGGAUAAGGAGCAUAAUACACUUGUUUAGCAUUUUGUGCCAUAACAGAUAGAUCAUAAACAGGAUACGACCUAUCGUACUUCACUUCAAUGAUGUUAUGCUCCUUAUGUACUCUUGUGCCUCUUGUGCUUGGAUCAAACCACUUACAUCGAAAGAGGACAAUUUUUUUAUUGAAAAACCAGCAUACUUCAAUUCUAAGAUCUCGUAUAUGAUGCCAAAGUAAUCAACAUCAUUAUCACCCUUGACCCAAACACCACUAUUGUUUAUUUUUCUUGUUCUGGAGUGUUUUUUGGUGGAAAAUUUAAACCCAUUUACUAUGUAAUGGGACAUUGCAUGAGCUUCAACUGGACCCAAAGAAAUAUCUCUCAAGAGCUGAUCGUAUGCGGCUGGAUUGGGUGACUGGUGUACCUAAAAAUAUUAUACAUAUAUAUAUAUAUAUGUUAGUUGAGGAAUGUGUAAAUGUUUAAAAUUUGUAGAAAUAUUAAUACACUUACGGACCUCAUAUGUAAAUCAUGUUGCAAAGAAUGCAUACACUUGGUUUUCGUGAAAUUAAGUCUUAAAUGAACUGAAGAUGCAACAUGCGAAACACAAUUAGUUUCUUUAAGGGAAUGAGUAAAUAAAUAAGAUAUGCUAAAAUUUUAAUCUCCUUACUUCAGAAAAGGCUCAACUUCCGGGCAAUUCAGCAAGACAUACAAAGUUGUUGAUUUACGCUCCGUGGGAGUGAGCCGACGACGUAUGGUCUUUUUAGCCUUACAAUUAGAUUGAUUGAAAAUUGAUAUCGGUUGCAAAUGAGGCUCAUUCACAUCGUCCUAAUGACGAUUCGGUCGGUUUCUUGAACAAACAACUUCAUAACGGAAGUAGUAUAAAUAAAAUUGAGAUGUUUAUCUUGCAAGAUAUGCCUCAACUAUAGAGUCUUCCACCCUAUGUUUGUUUUUGGGACUCCUUUUCAAUUUCCCAAUUGUCCUGCACAAUCUUAAGAUUAGAUGUUUACUAUAUUGAAAAAAGAUAUGUAUGAAUUUAAAUAUGUUGCAAUUGUUUAUCGUUCGAAUAGAUACAUCCACCUAAUUUGAACUGGACCGCCUAGUCGAGUUUCGUGCACAAGGUGAAUGGGAAGAUGUUCCAUCAUAUCGAAGAACACUGGCAGAAAAAUCUUCUCUAACUUCAUGUUGAUAACAACAAUAUUACUUUUCAUUUGUACCAGAUUUUCUUCUUUUAAUGUGGUGGCACAUAAAUUUUUGAAGAACAAACUGAUCUCUACUAUUGGUUUCCAUAUGUUUUCAGGUAAACCAAUAAAAGCAAUGGGAAGUAAUUGUUCCAUGAAAACAUGGCAAUCAUGACUUUUCAUUCCAUGUAAGAUUCCUUGUGCCAUAUCAACCCUCUUUCCUUGUGCCAUAUCAACCCUCUUUCCUAAAUUUGAGGCAUAUCCAUGGGCAUCUUCAAACUUUCGACCAACUCACAUAUUUGACGUUUUUGGUCCAACUUGAAUAUAAAACUAGCCUUGGGCUUAAUAACAUUGACAUUGGGCCCCUCCUGUAAGUGUAAUUCUGUACGUUUGCAAUAUUCUGGUAAGUGAAGUCUGGCCUUAGAAUUAUCCUUUGUUUUGCAGGUGACAUCCAUAACUGUGUUGAACAAGUUGUCAAAAUAGUUCUUCUCAGUAUGCAUGACAUCAAUAUUAUUUCUAAGUAAAUUAUCUGGCCAAUAUUCUAACUCUCAAAAUAUACUUUGCUUAGUCCAAUUAUGCAAAACGUCAUAUCCAUCAAGUCUGUACAAUGGUUCCUCGCUGACUUUAGGCAAAUCCUAAACUAUCUCCCAGAUGUCAUGUCCAGACAACCUUGAAGGUGGACCAUCAUGUUCUCUUCUAUUCCUUCUGAAUGCAUUCUUGAGUCUCUUAAAUUCACGAUCAGGUAGCAAGAAACAACGAUGACAAUCAAACCAUGAUUUUUCCUACCAUGUCUCAAUGUGAAAGAUUUUGUUUUUUCUAUGCAGUAUGGACAAGCCAACUUUUCAGCUAUCAUCCACCCAAACAACAUUCCAUAAGUAGGAAAAUCAUUAAUAGUUCACAUUAGAUAUGCACGCAGAUUGAAAUUCUGUUUAAGUGAGAUGUCCCAAGUUUCAACCCCCUCAUGCCAUAAAAUUUGAAGUUCAUCGAUCAAAGGUUGCAAGUAGACAUCUAUUUCGCUUUUUGAAUUACGUGGACCAGGAACAACACAAUUCAAAAAUAUAUAAGGACUAGUCAUCAAUAUUUCAGGAGGAAGAUUAUAUGGGGUGAUAAAUACAGGCCAACAUGAAUAUGGCACAGUACUAACUGAAAAAGGAGAGAAGCCAUCCGCACAUAAUCCCAAACGAAUAUUUCGUGGCUCAGCUGCAAAAUCUGGAUAAGUUGCAUCAAAAAGCUUCCAAGCCUCUCCAUCAGAUGGAUGGCACAUAACACUAGUGGGCCUUCUAUUUUCACUGUGCCAUCUCAUAUGAGGAGCUGAGCUGUUUGAAGCAUAAAACCUUGGUAUUAAAGGUAAAUAAUGCAUUGCCUUAAUAGUAAUUUUAUUUCCACUACAACCAUGCUUAUAUCGAGGGUGCUGACAAAACUUUCAGGAAUCUAGGUUAGCAUUUUUCUUAAAGUAUAACAUGCAGCCAUUUUCACAACAAUCAAUUCUAACUGAGGAGAGACCUAACUUUGACACCAAUCUUUUUGCCUUAUAGAAAGAAUCAGGAACCUCCAAGGUGGGGUCAACUAACUAUUUAAUAAGGUCUAUCAUUGAGUUCAUUCCUCCUUCAGUAAUAUUCCGAUCAGAUUUAAUACUUAAUAAUCUAACAGCAAUAGAUAAACGAGAGUGCGAACACCCGUCAAACAAAGGAUGACUAGAGGCAUGCAAUUGUUCAUAGAAUUUGCUUACUUCACUCUUAGGAACAUCUUCGACAUUUUCCCUAAAGUCACCCUCGUGUUGCAUCCCAAAAGCAUCGUGCAUCAUUUCUGUCAUCCUAGUAUCUUGAUAUUUAUUAUGCCCUGCAGACCUACUACUUACUCCAACAACAAAGUUAUUUUGCCCAACAUCACCAUCAAUAGCACGCAAUCUUAAAAAGUCCUCGUGAAAUCCUUUUCUAUAAAGAUGUUCUUCAUAACUUCUUCUUUUAAAAGAUUUAUACCAUCACAUCUAACACAAGGACAACGAAAAUCCCCAAAACGUGACCAAACAUCAAGUGUCUUAGCAUGUUCAACAAAUCAUCUGACACCUCCAACAAAUUCCUCCCUAAGACCCAUUCUAUUUUUAUUAUUCUGUUGAUAUAUCCAGCUAUAAUCAAGUUUCAUCUACACAAUCAAUCAGAUUUAAUUAAUUAGAUCAAUUCACAAAAAAGUUAAGCAAGUCACCAAACUUAACUACAUUCAAAACAAAAAAUUCACAUUUAAAGUACCUAAACUUCAACAUUUCAACUCACUAAGUCAUCACCCAAGUCACCAAACUUAAUUACAUUCAAAACAAAAAUUCACUUGUAAAGUACCUACACUUAGUAAAUUUUAAUUCACUAAGUAACCACCCAAGUUACCAAACUAAACCACAUAUUCACCUUUAAAGUACCUACACUUUAUCAAUUUCAAGUGACUAAGUCACCUACCAAGUCAUCAAACUUAACUACAUUCAAAACAAAAAAUUCACCUUUAAAGUACCUACACUUGGUAAAUUUCAAAUCACCAAGUCAUCACCCAAGUCACCAAACUAAACCACAUUCAAAACAAAAAUUCACCUUUAAAGUACCUAUACUUAGUAAAUUUCAACUCACUAAGUAAUCAUCCAAGUCACUAAACUAAACCACACUCAAAACAAAAAUUCACCUUUAAAGUACCUACACUUUAUCAAUUUCAAGUGACUAAGUGAUACAAGCACAAGGAGCAUCAAAAACACAAAGUAUGGUCUAAGGGUCAAGGCUUUGGAAUUAGCAAGCAAUUGAAGACUUUUUGAAGUAUUUUGAAGCCUUGGUCAAGAGAAGGAAGAAAGGGAACUUAUACACUCAAGAGGCACCUCAAUUGAAGGGCAUUGAAGUCAUUAUGCACUCCAAAACAACACUCAAGAGGCGCCCCAAAUUCCUUCCCUCAUUAAGGGCUUCUUUGUCCAUUAAAUGUAAUAGUAGAAAUAGACCAUUUUACUUCUCUUUUUAUUAGACUUUGAUGAAAUUGGAUAUCACUCUUAUAUUGUAGUUUUUAGUCUCUAGUUUUAGAUCUUAGAAUCUGAAAAUUAGUCCAAGAACAUUUGAAGUUAGGGUUUCACUUGUUUUGGAUAAUUGGCAAGAAAGGUGUACUUGAGGAAGAGUGUUUCCUUUGGGUCACCUAAGAGGAAGGUUUGAACUCUUAUUUGUGAGGUGUGUUGAAGAUUUUGAAACAUCUUUUAGUUCUAAUCAUUGAAUAGGAGUAAGGGUCUUUCUAUCUAUCUUUUAAUUUCAAGCAUUCUUCUUCUUCAUCUCCAUUCUAUGUGUUGUCUUCUCUUUAUUUUGGUUGCUGAAAUUUGCAUCUUAGUAACCAAUUUUGUGUGUUUGGUAGUAUUUAGGCUAUCAUUUGGUAUCAAAACAUUGGUUAGGGUUGUUUCAACAUUCCUAAAUCUUGGUUUUAGUGUUCUUAUUUAGAAAAUCUCAACAAAAAAGAGUCAAAAAUCAGAAAAUACAAAAAAAAUGGUGUCUAGUGUUGUCUUGUGUUAGAUCUGAAUUUAGAUCUGAAUUUAGAGUCUUAGAUCUACAAGAUUUUACUUUGUUUUGAAGGUUUCUUGUGUUAGAUUCCUGUUCUCUAACAUCGAGGGUGUCUAGAUCUACUUUUAGAGUGAAGUUUGGUUGAAUUUGAGCUAGAUCCACUAUUGUUGUGCUUUGUUUGAAGCUUUUGAGAUGGGAUCUCGUUUUUUGUCAUCUUGUUUGUGGCAUUUUGUGGCUGAUUUUAUGUUGGUUGUGUUUGUCUUGGCCUAAGGAACCUAGGUCUAAAAGAAAAUUCAGAUUUGGAGUUCUUUUGCUUGUUGGUCAAACUUGGUCAACACUUGAAUAUUCAUCUUGUUCAUCCAUGAUCUUCAUAUCUUAGUGAAGAAGAAAAUUCAAAGUGUUUGUUUGAUCCAAAAGAAGGGGAAAAAAAGAGUGUGCUUGUUGUUUGUCCAAGAAUAUUCCCUAGUAUAUUCCUAAUCCAUCCAAAAGAAGAGGGGGACCAAAGGACAAAUCAAGUACAGUUGCAAUUAAUUGGGGGGGACCAUUUCAUUUCAAUUUCAUUUAGAGGCUUAAAAGGGCUCCAAAUUGUUUACUUACCCCCUCAAAUCUAAAAAUUCUUCUUUCCAAAGUUGAUACUUGGCCGAAACAUGAGAUUGGGAAAUGAAAAAUUCAAAAAAGAGACAACCAACCACGUAGUGCGAUGUCAUCACUUGUGAUCAACUAAAUUCAUCUCUAAAAUUAGAUUUUUUUUCUUAGUUUCUCUUUUUUUAUUCUAGUUCCUUGUGUGUUAAACUUUAUCACUAAUUAGCAAACUAGUAACUACCUAUUAGGUUGAUAAUUAGUCUUGGGUCUGUUUGUUUUGUGUCUUCAAUUUUUUGUGUGCUUUUCUCAUUUUUAAGUCGUAGUAUUUUGUUGGUUCAAGUCCGUGCAGCACUUUAUUUGAGUUGUUUCAAACAAAGAUCGAUUCCGAUCCAAAGCUUCUCACCUCUCAAGUGACUUGACAAGUAUUGCCGAUUCCCCAACACUUGUGAAGCCAAGUGUGAGGUGAGGUUGAAUGUGAGUGAAGUGAGGCUUUUGAACUAACUUGUUUUCUCGUUUUGUAGGAUUUUUUUUGUUUACUAUUUUUUUGCUCUUUUAGGUACAUUCGCCUUGGAAUCCGGAGAUACUACUUCCCAACCUUUGGGAAAUGAUGCUAUUGGAGACUUGAUGGCUCGGUUUGAUGCCCUUGCCCGAGAAAUGAAGAAUGAUAAUGAUGCCUUGAGAAGUAAUGUGGAUGCUAUGAGGGAUGAAAUGGUGACUAUGAAGGGUGAAAUUUCCACUUUUAGUGGAAGACUUGAUCGUGUUGAAAGUAGGAGGAACUUACGACCUUCUACUCCUAUUCCCUACCAUGCAUCCUCUAGUGUCCAAGCCAAUAACUCUUCCAUGACUAUAACCCCCGAAACCCUCCACCAAAUGCUUAAUCCAGCCAAAUGCUCCACAAAACCAGCCACUAAAUCCACCCCAAACCUCUCCUAACUGAACCCUACAAAGACUACUACAUUCCCAAAUGAACCAAGUCCAACAAGAGGGACUUGGAACUCAAACUCCACCACACAAUCCGAACUAAAUACCUCCACGAAACACCACCUACCAAAUUCCAAAUCCCAUGGACCAAAGACCUUACCAACCACCACCUCCAAUACCACAAGUCCAAGCUCCAAAUAACCAAAGACUAAAUCCACCUCCCCAAAUACCCCAAAUCCAAAACCAAUACCUUUAUUUUGAGGAUUAUGGUAGAGAGGAGUAUGAAGGUUAUGAAGUUCCUCAUGGUGAUUAUUGGUUCCUUGAAUAAGAAAUGAGGGCAAGACAUGAACAAAGAGGGCAUUAUGGAAGAUUCUGAGGGCAUGAGGCAAGACAAGGCCACAUUGAACAUCCAAGAAUCCGAGACAUUGGCAUUAAUUCAAUCAAGGUUGGCAUUCCAAUUUUCAAAGGUGAGAGUGAUCCGAAAGUGUACUUAGCUUGGGAAUCCGCUUGUGAAAAAAUCUUUCAAGUGAAUGACCUUUCCGAAGAAAAAAGAAGUUGUUAUACUAUUGCUCACUUUCAAGGAUAUACAAACACUUGGUGGGAUUACACCAAAAGAUUUGGUAAUGUGUUGAUUGGUGGCCAACUACCUCCUUGGGAGGAGUUGAAGAGACUAAUGAGAGAGAGAUAUGUUCCGGAACACUAUAGACAUGAGCUUCUUUCCAAACUCUACAAUUUGAGGCAAGGAAGCAAGAGUGGCAUGGCCUACUAUGAUGAGUUCCAACAACUUGUUUUAAAACUUGACCAUAGAGGUGAACAAGUGCAACAUGAUGUCAUACGCUUCAAGGUUGGGUUGAAUAGAGACAUAUCAUCCCAUUUGACUCUUCACAAGUUUGAAACCAUGGUUGAAAUCUUCUAAGAGGAUAUGGAAAUUGAGAAAGAGAACAAGAAAAAAUACAAGCCAAAGGUCCCCUACACCUCAUUGGAUUGGUCCAAAGAAAAGGGCAUGGUCUUGGCAUCUAUGGCUCCUCCUCAAGCCAUUAUCAAGGCUUCCCAACAUCAUCCUCCAAAGCUUGAAGGUAAACCAACUUCUACUUCUCAUUCUAAGGUUCUACAAUGUUUCAAGUGUCAAGGUUAGGGUCAUAGGGCACGUGAGUGUCCUAACCGACAUAAUGUUAUUCUAAGGGAGGGGAAGUUGUACUAUCUUGGUGAAGAAGUGGAGUUGGAAACCGAGGAGAAUGAUGACAACUCUCAAGAUAGAGAGUGCAUAGAACCUGAAGUUAAAGGUGAGGGUAGUGAAGAAGAUAUGUUUCCUUAUGAAGGAGAAUGUGAUGUGCCUAGUUAUGUUGUUAGGAGAACUUUGUUUAGUAAGGUCUUGGAUGAUCAAAGAUAGAACCUCUUUCAUACUAAGUGCCUUAUUAAAGGAAGUUUGAAUUCAAUGAUCAUAGAUAGUAGGAGUUGUGUGAAUAUUGUUAGUGUCACCUUGGUUGACCACUUGAAACUAGCCACUAUCCCUCACCCGAAUCCAUACAAGCUUCAAUGGUUAAACAAGUGUGGUGAAUUGAAGGUCAAACGACAAUGUGUGAUUAGAUUCAAGAUAGGGAGUUAUCAUGAUGAAGUUUUAUGUGAUGAAAUACCUAUGCAAGCAUGUCACAUAUUGUUGGGAAGACCUUGGCAAUUUGAUAGGCACACUAGAUGAAAGAUCUAAUAGGUACACCUUUGUGCAUGGUGGACGAAAGUUCACUCUUCUCCCUCUUCCACCAUCUAGUGUGAAUGAAAUCCAAGAGAAAAUCAAGAAGUUGGAUGAGAAAAGAAAAAAUAAAAAGGGAGGGGAAGUUUCAGAUUGUGAGAAAGGAAAGGGGAAAACAACUUUGUUUGUGGAACUUGCGCACAAAGGUCCCUUGAUACUCACUAACCCAAAGUCUAGCAUUUUACCUAGCCUUAAUACUCCUUAUUUUCAGGUUCAAGCUCAUGAAUUAUCAAAGUAGGAUCAACAAGAAAUCUCACAUGAAAGUAGCCUCAAAACAACCUUGGCUGAGAGUUUCAAAAUAGUGGAAUAUCCUAGUACAAACCAAGGUAAUAAUGCUACUCCCUAUGUUUCCUUGAGCUUAAAUUAUUGUCAUGUGAUUCCUUAUGUAGAGGUUUCGAAAAUCCUUGAUGUAGGUGUGUAUGUUUCUUCUCUUGUUAGCUCUCUUGAUAUGUAUAGUAAACCAUGCGCACCUAAGAUUAAUCCACUACUUGAACAUGAGAAUAGUGUGAUUGGAAACUUCCAAGUUAGUGUUGAUGUUAGUAAUGAUGGUCUUGAUAUUCAACAUGGUCAAUUAAACUUGUGUAUAAAAGCUAUUAUAUUAAUCUUGUUCAUAGUGACCUUGUGUUUGUCCUAGUGGUGGAUAAUGUCUUGAAUGAUUGUGAACUUGGUAACCUAGUGAAAGGAAUGGGCCAUCUAGACUUAAACCUUUACCAUUUGCUCCCAUUUGACCUCAACAUACUCUUGAGAUGUGAGGGUUAUAGUUACUGGCCGUGCUAACUUAUUCUUGAUAUUGAGGCUAUUCAUGUCUUUGGUACCCAUUAUGCUAAGCUUUUUAUGUUAAAAACCAAGGAUUUGUGGAUGUAUGUCAAGUGUGAGUAACCAUGGGUUGAUGAUAUAAGUGUGGUACUAAUGCUAACACUCCUACCAAGGGGAUUUUGUGUUUGUUUUUGCUCUCUCUUUGAUUUUGCAAGAUCUGAAUUUGAGGACAAGGUGUGGAGGAUGUGGAUUAGGGUAGAGGGCUAGUGGGUAGGAGUAUGUCCUUGCUAGUAGGAAGGAGUGCUUUAUGUAGUUGUGCUUGUAGUCGUUGUGUUAUACAUGUCUUGUAGUUUCUUGUUCGUGGUGUUUUGACGAUGCUUGUGAUUUCGGAUAGAUAGUUUAUAGUAUUACUCAAUGGGUGUCUUGUUUCUUUUACUAUCUAGUGGUGUGCUAUCCUAUUCUGUUAUUUGUUUUUAUGUUUGUUACACUGUUAUUUUUCUUGAGUUGGGGGUCUAUCGUAACCAACCUCUCUACAUUUGAGGUAGUAGUAUGGCCUGUGUACACUUUACCCUUCUCAGACCCCACCUUGUGGGAAAUAUGUUGGGUAUGUUGUUGUUGUAAUUUUGAAAGAUGGACUCUAUGGUUUAAAAAACGUGAACAUUAAGGGUUAAAACAAACUCUCACUUCCAGAAGUUUAUUUUUAAAAAAUGCACAUUAGGAUUUAAAAGAACACCUAAUUUCGAAAUUUUGUUGAUUUUUUGUGUGUUUACUUUCUUAUAUUGACAGUCCUUAAUAAAAUUUUGGCUCCACCACUGAUCAUUACGUGCAACAACAAUCCGGAAAAUGGAUCUUUGAAAUAGAAUUUAAAAAUUGAUGAAGUGUAAUAGCAUGUAGUUGCUCAUAUAUAGGAUCCAAUCUUUGACAUUAUGUGACUACUCAGCAUGUGAUAUUACACUUCUAGCGCAGAUUUACUUGUUUGUUUAAGGUAAAUUAGUCAAGCUGGGAGAGGUUUUGCUAGCUUUUACAAAUUGUGGGAUAGCAACCAUAUUUCAUGUUUUUUACGAAAUUAGACUAAAACAUGAAUAUCAUUCCAAACAUCUUUUUGCAAAAACUAUAACCAAACACACUCCAUCUUCAAUUCCAACUUCAAAUAUUCCAAAAAGUGAAAACUAUUGGAAUCUAUGGCCAAAUGUUAACUUGUUAUUUCUUUUUUAUUUGCCUAUCCAGACUAAGACGACAACCGGAGAGGAAUAAAUAGAAAGUCCCUUCAUCUCCACAUACUCUUGAUUAGAAUAUGGAGAAGCAACUGUUAAUACUUGUUUAAUUGUCUAGACCGUAUAAUCAUCUUUUCUUGUUAAAAUACUCUUUCUUAAUAUGUAAAAGAUGAGUUCAUUAGUAAAUAACGACAAUAAGUAGGUGUCUCUUGUUGAAAUACUUGAUGACAACAUAAUACACGAAAUAUAACCACCCAAUGAGGAAGCUUAACUAAGAAGAAUGACAUUGACAUAUGACGUUACCAAAAAGACAGUUAAAAUAAGAUGAUUACUAUAGAUUUUAUGAAAUAAAAAUGCUAUUCAAACCUCAGCUACAGCAGUGCUUUGAUGAUGAAUUUGUUGGCCAAUACCACAAAGUGCAUUAGAAACCCAUGAAUGAAUUA